rnacentral:misc_RNA from 1 species
GUAGGUGAACCUGCGGAAGGAUCAUUAUUGAAUUUUGUUGUCUGGCUUCGGUCGACAACUCUUCAUAUCCAUAACACCUGUGCACUGUUGGAUGCUUGCAUCCAAUUUUAUACUAAACAAUAUUGUAACAAAUGUAGUCUUAUUAUAACAUAAUAAAACUUUUAACAACGGAUCUCUUGGCUCUC